UGUAUUUGUGGGUGUCUCUUGGUUCGGUGUCUGUGGCUCCCUUGGUCCUCUUCCUCCCCCUCCCCCGACGUGCCUAGUUUAAAGGCCGCCGGAGGAAAUCAGCCAACCUGGAAGAGAACACACACGUACCUUUUGGGGAGCAGUGAAGCCCAUCCCACCCGAGCAUGUCUCUUGUCCUGAAGUGAGGGUCGUGGUCCAGAAAGCCGAAGCCCGCCGCAAGACACCAUUCCCAAAGCUGCAAGUUGAGGUCCCAGAUGCAGGUCUCAUGGCAUCUUCCAUGCCCGCUCACUGGAAGGAUCGAUGAGAAGACCACCUGUGCCCCUAUCUCCUUCAGCUUGUCCCCCAGUGCUUGGCAGGAAAACACAUCCGGAGGAGAGAAGA